rnacentral:rRNA from 1 species
UACGUAGGUGACCAGCGUUGUCCGGAUUUACUGGGCGUAAAGAGCGCGCAGGCGGUCGUUCAAGUCGAGUGUGAAAGCCCCCGGCUCAACUGGGGAGGGUCACUCGAUACUGAUCGACUUGAAGGCAGGAGAGGGAAGCGGAAUUCCCGGUGUAGUGGUGAAAUGCGUAGAUAUCGGGAGGAACACCAGUGGCGAAGGCGGCUUCCUGGCCUGUUCUUGACGCUGAGGCGCGAAAGCUAGGGGAGCAAAAGGG